rnacentral:lncRNA from 1 species
AUGUUGAACACUUUUGUGUUUAUCUACCCAGAUAACAUUCUGAAAUCAGAGGAAGUUGGAGGAGGAGCAUGUGCAGCCUGUCCGGCUGGGCAGGGCGGCUUCCAGGUUCCAGUUGGGGAUCUACACACCUGGAACUCAUCUCCAGCUAAUCACCCACACCUGCCUCCCCCUUUAAAACCCUGGUCCACUUUGCUGUUAACCCCCUGUGGUACAGCCAAAACACUGAACGCAGGUUUGUUUCAUGAGCCCUGUUCCCGGUUCUGAACUGAUUUUCAGUCUCUCCUGCACGUCGCCUGUUUGGGCCGCCCAGCCUGCUCCAGUUCGACCCUGUUUGUCUGCCUCCAGCACCACUUGGUUUUCACCUGAACCAACUUUCAGUAAAUCUUAAUUCCAACCUCAACCAGUUGUGUGUGUGUGUGUGUCUGUCUGCAUUUGGGGGUCUUGGUUCAUGUCUGCGGUGCUUAACAUCUUCAGCAGGUCCGACAGAAUCAGCUCUUUGUAAAGGCUGAGAAAUGUGAACUCCACCAAACAUCUUUUUAAUUGUCGGGGUUUAUUGGCAGCAUCCAGGCAGACCCAGAGAAGGUUAGCGCAGUCACUGUCUGGCUGGCUCCCACUGACAGGAAAUAGCUGCAAAGAUUUUGGGGCUUUGCUAGAUUCUGUGUUGCAGCUCCUCAGGAACCCAGGUCAGGUGGAAUCCUCCGGCUGGGGAUGCGUUCCAGUCCUUCAAACAGCAGUUAUGCUCUGCUCCCAUCCUUGUCCUACGUGACCCAAAGCUCCAUUUUACUGUCAAGGCUGACGCUUCUGAUGUUAAUGGGACAGGCUGCAUUAUUUUGUAGAAAACCUUCUCCACCUGAGAGAAACUGGGAGGUGAUGACUGUGAAACUGGCCUUGGAAAAAUGGAGGAACUGACUGGAGGGGCUGUUGCGCUAUUCCUGGUGUGGACUGACCACAAGAACCUGUAAUAUUUAAGAACAACCAAGAGACUGAAUUCUCAGCAAGACAGGUGGGCAUGGCUUUUUGGCUAAACUUUAUUUCUUUCUGUUCUGUCAUCCUGGUUUGAGAAACAUAGAAGCUGAGGUCGGUGUGCACGCAGAGAGACGCACAAAACAAUAGAAUAAAGUGAGGAAAUGAAAACAUACGAUGACAAAAAUGGUCUAAAUUUUAGGCAUGUCCACCAUUUUGGUUUAUUUAUUUUUUUACUGUUUAUGUGAAUUAUUCUGAACAAUGAACAUGACACAAAAUGCAAUUGAUGCAUUGAUAAUGACGGUGGGAAAGUGGGGAAAAAAACAUAACUAAUAUAGUAGAUUCACAUUCAAAUGAAGACAUUGGACAAAGAGAAAAUGAUGUGGUUUUUUUUGGUUUGUAAACUGGACAGUGUACAAAUAUUUUUUUCAAUUCUGACACUUUUAUGGUUUAAAAUUUUGGAUUAAUUUACAUGAAAUUUGAAAAAAGUGCAUUUCAAUUAAAGCCAGAUAUGACAUCUCUAUAGUCUAAAACAAAAUUUAAGCAAAUAAUGGAAAAUUAUGUUUAAUCUUUCUAUAGUUUGUAGGUAAACUCACAAGACACGGAGAUUAUAAAAUAAACAUCAAUGUCAGUUUUAAACCUCUGUAACAGCCCUUUAGUGGGGUCAAAUCUCUGCAACAAUUUAAACGUCAAUCUCAGUGUUAUUACUCAAAAUAAACCUUUGGGGAGGGACCAGACAUUUCCCAGGUUAUGCUGGAGCCGAAUUUACUCCAGUAGAAAGUUGCAGGUGGGGAAUGAGGCCGAAUCCAAAGAUCUAAUUUUAUACUUGGAGCCUUUACAAGCUGAAAAAAAAACAACCAACUAAUUUUAUCUGAGGAGUUGUUCAG